GGGCCUCUAGCCUAGUUGGUUAGGUGGUUUGAGUAGUACUCCUCAGGUCCUGAGUUCGACUCCCCGUGGGAGCG
rnacentral:tRNA from 7 species